UAGGGAAUUGUUCGCAAUGGGCGCAAGCCUGACGACGCAACGCCGCGUGGAGGAUGAAGACCUUCGGGUCGUAAACUCCUUUCGACCGAGAUGAACAUUCCACUGCCUAAUAUGCGGUGGAACUGACAGUAUCGAGGGAAGCAGCCCCGGCUAACUCCGUGCCAGCAGCCGCGGUAAUACGGGGGGGGCAAGCGUUGUUCGGAAUUACUGGGCGUAAAGGGUUCGUAGGUGGCCGACUAAGUCAGACGUGAAAUCCCUCAGCUUAACUGGGGAACUGCGUCUGAGACUGGCCGGCUCGAGUGCAGGAGAGGAACGCGGAAUUCCAGGUGUAGCGGUGAAAUGCGUAGAUAUCUGGAGGAACACCGGUGGCGAAGGCGGCGUUCUGGACUGUUUCUGACACUGAUGAACGAAAGCCAGGGGAGCAAACGGGAUUAGAUACCCCCGUAGUCC
rnacentral:rRNA from 1 species